ACGGGAAGUGAAGGUAUAUAUUAGAUACAAAACCAAAGAGAGAGGGGAGUGAUAAUAUUUGGAACAGAUCACGAGGGAGUGACGAGCCGAUCAAAUUUCUGCCCUAUCAACUUUGGACGGUAGUAUAGAGGACAACCGUGGUGAUAACGGGUAACGGAGAAUGAGGGUUUGAUUCCGGAGAAGGGGCAUGAGAAAUGGCCACUACAACCAAGGUAGGCAGCAGGCGCGUAAAUUACCCAAUCCUGACAGAGGGAGGUAGUGACAAUAAAUAACAAUGAAUUUAUGGAAAGUAAGUUGAAUUGGAAUGAGAACAAUAUAAAACCCUUAUCGAGGAACAAUUUCAGGGCAAGUUCUGGUGCCAGCAGCCGCGGUAAUUCCAGCUGAAAAAGCGUAUACGAAUAUUGUUGCAGUUAAAACGCUCGUA
rnacentral:rRNA from 1 species